CCUACGGGAGGCAGCAGUCGAGAAUCAUUCACAAUGGGGGAAACCCUGAUGGUGCGACGCCGCGUGGGGGAAUGAAGGUCUUCGGAUUGUAAACCCCUGUCAUGUGGGAGCAAAUUAAAAAGAUAGUACCACAAGAGGAAGAGACGACUAACUCUGUGCCAGCAGCCGCGGUAAUACAGAGGUCUCAAGCGUUGUUCGGAAUCACUGGGCGUAAGGCGUGCGUAGGCUGUUUCGUAAGUCGUGUGUGAAAGGCGCGGGCUCAACCCGCGGACGGCACAUGAUACUGCGAGACUAGAGUAAUGGAGGGGGAACCGGAAUUCUCGGUGUAGCAGUGAAAUGCGUAGAUAUCGAGAGGAACACUCGUGGCGAAGGCGGGUUCCUGGACAUUAACUGACGCUGAGGCACGAAGGCCAGGGGAGCGAAAGGGAUUAGAUACCCUGGUAGUC
rnacentral:rRNA from 1 species